rnacentral:rRNA from 1 species
UACGGGGGGAGCAAACGUUGUUCGGAAUCACUGGGCGUAAAGGGCGCGUAGGCGGUCCUGUAAGUGGUGUGUGAAAUCCGAUGGCUCAACCAUCGAGCUGCCGCCCCCAUACUGCAGGACUUGAGUACAGCAGAGGAAAGUGGGAAUUCCCGGUGUAGCGGUGAAAAUGCGUAGAUAUCGGGGAGGAACACCGUGGCGGA